rnacentral:lncRNA from 1 species
CGGGCGCGGAGCGUGGGAAGAGCGGGCGGAGCUCUCGGAAGCCAAGUCCGCAGCGUUGCGCCUCCCGCGGGUGGCUGCGCCGCGGGGCCGAGGUUGCUGUGCUGCGCCGGAAGCCACCGGCCGCCCAGAGAAACAGCAAAUGACAGAGCAGAGGACAGCUGGCCCCAGCCAAACCUGUUGCUGCUGCAGUGCUUGUUAUGUCAGGAUAGUGGGGUCUCUGGACCCUUCCCCUCCCUUGCUGAGGCUCCUGGAUGCCCUCCUGCCAGGCUGUACAUUCUGCCUUUAGCCAGGGUGGUGUUGGUGUCAUGGCCCCAACUGCCAUCCAGCAGGGGAAGAAGAAUGCAACAGCCAGAUCAAGGCGUAGAACUCUCAGCUCCUCCAGCACUAUGUCUGCCUGCACACCGCCAUACUUCCCGCCAUGAUGACAAUGGACUACACCUCCAAAACUCCCCUGCCUCAUGACUUUGGGCUCAUAGAAGCUCCAGAGGUGCUUACAUCAUGUCAGACCCCUGGAAGCUUCUUGAUCGUGUCCUCAGCUUCCUCUCUAGAUCUGCCUCCCCAGAAAGGCGUAAGCCAGUAGAGUCCAGGUGCUCACCUGAAGAGGCAGAAGAACUUGAAUCAUCUUAUUUUGGGGUCAGAUGGUCUACAGUUCCUCCCGUGUCCAGAUGAUGGCCUUGGCCCUGGAAUUCUUGUCUCUGAUCUAGCUCUUCAAGCUGACACUUGAUUAUUGAAAGCCAGGUCCUGUGCCCUGACCAUAUGUGAUAAUUCUGUUCUCUCCUCCUCUGUCUUAGGCUGUGGGUCUGGACAUGCUGCCCUGGAUUAAGGCUAAAGCGGUAUGGAAAUGAAAACUGAAGUUAGGUCUCUGUGUGUUCCUGAGUCUUGAUAUCUAGAUCUGACCCAGUGAAACAAAGUAGGGUUUGUUCUUUAAUAGGAAAGAAACCGCACUUUAAAAUCACAUGUCACUAAGCUUGUCACAUAGUUUGAAGAGUUUUCACUCGUCCAGGUUCUCUGUGCCCUAGAGACAUCAGCCUGUACCCAUAGGGGCCAAGCCCCCUCAUAUCUGCAGCCUGGUCUGUUCUCUGGCCCAGGCUGUAGUUCACAGUUGAAGAAAGGAUUACAGAUCUCCAGUUCUGAUUCACGUACCCA